CGAUGUGAAUCUCUAAAAAGGACCCCUUCUCCUUUAACAUGGAGGUGCUUGCUGUGAGUUUGAAAAAUUAAGUGCUUCCAUGUUUUAGUUGAAGUGAACCCUAUUUGCUUAUGGAACCUGG
rnacentral:precursor_RNA from 13 species